CAGUGGCGGACGGGUGAGUAACGCGUGAGUAACCUGCCUCUAAGAGGGGAAUAACAUUCUGAAAAGAAUGCUAAUACCGCAUAACAUAUAUUUAUCGCAUGGUAGAUAUAUCAAAGAUUUAUCGCUUAGAGAUGGGCUCGCGUCCGAUUAGUUAGUUGGUGAGGUAACGGCUCACUAAGACCGCGAUCGGUAGCCGGACUGAGAGGUUGAACGGCCACAUUGGGACUGAGACACGGCCCAGACUCCUACGGGAGGCAGCAGUGGGGGAUAUUGCGCAAUGGGGGAAACCCUGACGCAGCAACGCCGCGUGAAGGAUGAAGGUCUUCGGAUUGUAAACUUCUUUUAUUAAGGACGAAGAAAGUGACGGUACUUAAUGAAUAAGCUCCGGCUAACUACGUGCCAGCAGCCGCGGUAAUACGUAGGGAGCAAGCGUUGUCCGGAUUUACUGGGUGUAAAGGGUGCGUAGGCGGCUUUGCAAGUCAGAUGUGAAAUCUAUGGGCUCAACCC
rnacentral:rRNA from 1 species